rnacentral:rRNA from 1 species
UACGUAGGUGGCAAGCGUUGUCCGGAUUUACUGGGCGUAAAGGGCUUGUAGGCGGUUCGUUAAGUCUGGCGUGAAAUCCCCCGGCUCAACCGGGGGGGGGCAUCGGAUACUGGCGGACUUGAGGUAGGUAGAGGAAAGCAGAAUUCCUGGUGUAGCGGUGAAAUGCGUAGAUAUCAGGAGGAAUACCAGUGGCGAAGGCGGCUUUCUGGGCCUAUCCUGACGCUGAGGAGCGAAAGCGUGGGGAGCAAACCGG